UACGGAGGGUGCAAGCGUUAUCCGGAUUUAUUGGGUUUAAAGGGUCCGUAGGCGGAUCGUUAAGUCAGCGGUGAAAUCUCCCGGCUCAACCGGGAAACUGCCGUUGAUACUGUCGAUCUUGAGUACAAGUGAAGUUGGCGGAAUGUGUGGUGUAGCGGUGAAAUGCUUAGAUAUCACACAGAACACCUAUUGCGAAGGCAGCUGACUAACUCGUAACUGACGCUGAGGGACGAAAGUGUGGGGAUCAAACAGG
rnacentral:rRNA from 1 species